rnacentral:rRNA from 1 species
UACGUAGGGUGCAAGCGUUAAUCGGAAUACUGGGCGUAAAGCGUGCGCAGGCGGUUUUGUAAGUCAGAUGUGAAAUCCCCGGGCUUAACCUGGGAACUGCGUUUGAAACUACAAGGCUAGAGUGUGGCAGAGGGGGGUGGAAUUCCACGUGUAGCAGUGAAAUGCGUAGAGAUGUGGAGGAACACCGAUGGCGAAGGCAGCCCCCCUGGGUUAACACUGACGCGUCAGGCACGAAAGCGUGG